GUUCCAUUGGCUUAGUGGUUGUAGAGUCCGCUUCAGAUGCAGGAGGUUGCGGGUUUGAACCCCGUACGAAAUCA